rnacentral:rRNA from 1 species
GUGUGCGUGCGAGGUAGGCUCUUUGCGUCUGCGCCGUUACCGUUUAGUUGACUCUGCUGCUAUCUCUGCCCCGGGUGCGUCUGACCCCCGGACCGCUGCGCCCGCCGGAGGACCAACCAAAACUCUUAUUGUAUACCCCCUCGCGGGUUUUUUACUAUCAGAGCCAUCUCGGCGCCCCUCGUGGGCGUUUCGAAAAUGAAUCAAAACUUUCAACAACGGAUCUCUUGGUUCUGGCAUCGAUGAAGAACGCAGCGAAAUGCGAUAAGUAAUGUGAAUUGCAGAAUUCAGUGAAUCAUCCAAUCUUUGAACGCACAUUGCGCCCGCCAGUAUUCUGGCGGGCAUGCCUGUCCGAGCGUCAUUUCAACCCUCGAACCCCUCCGGGGGGUCGGCGUUGGGGAUCGGCCCUUUACGGGGCCGGCCCCGAAAUACAGUGGCGGUCUCGCCGCAGCCUCUCCUGCGCAGUAGUUUGCACACUCGCAUCGGGAGCGCGGCGCGUCCACAGCCGUUAAACACCCCAAACUUCUGAAAUGUUGACCUCGGAUCAGGUAGGAAUACCCGCUGAACUUAAGCAUAUCAAAAUCCAGAAGGAAA